GAUGAACGCUGGCGGCGUGCCUAAUACAUGCAAGUCGAGCGAACGGACGAGAAGCUUGCUUCUCUGAUGUUGGCGGCGGACGGGUGAGUAACACGUGGAUAACCUACCUAUAAGACUGGGAUAACUUCGGGAAACCGGAGCUAAUACCGGAUAAUAUUUUGAACCGCAUGGUUCAAAAGUGAAAGACGGUCUUGCUGUCACUUAUAGAUGGAUCCGCGCUGCAUUAGCUAGUUGGUAAGGUAACGGCUUACCAAGGCAACGAUGCAUAGCCGACCUGAGAGGGUGAUCGGCCACACUGGAACUGAGACACGGUCCAGACUCCUACGGGAGGCAGCAGUAGGGAAUCUUCCGCAAUGGGCGAAAGCCUGACGGAGCAACGCCGCGUGAGUGAUGAAGGUCUACGGAUCGUAAAACUCUGUUAUUAGGGAAGAACAUAUGUGUAAGUAACUGUGCACAUCUUGACGGUACCUAAUCAGAAAGCCACGGCUAACUACGUGCCAGCAGCCGCGGUAAUACGUAGGUGGCAAGCGUUAUCCGGAAUUAUUGGGCGUAAAGCGCGCGUAGGCGGUUUUUUUAAGUCUGAUGUGAAAGCCCACGGCUCAACCGUGGAGGGUCAUUGGAAACUGGAAAACUUGAGUGCAGAAGAGGAAAGUGGAAUUCCAUGUGUAGCGGUGAAAUGCGCAGAGAUAUGGAGGAACACCAGUGGCGAAGGCGACUUUCUGGUCUGUAACUGACGCUGAUGUGCGAAAGCGUGGGGAUCAAACAGGAUUAGAUACCCUGGUAGUCCACGCCGUAAACGAUGAGUGCUAAGUGUUAGGGGGUUUCCGCCCCUUAGUGCUGCAGCUAACGCAUUAAGCACUCCGCCUGGGGAGUACGACCGCAAGGUUGAAACUCAAAGGAAUUGACGGGGACCCGCACAAGCGGUGGAGCAUGUGGUUUAAUUCGAAGCAACGCGAAGAACCUUACCAAAUCUUGACAUCCUUUGACAACUCUAGAGAUAGAGCUUUCCCCUUCGGGGGACAAAGUGACAGGUGGUGCAUGGUUGUCGUCAGCUCGUGUCGUGAGAUGUUGGGUUAAGUCCCGCAACGAGCGCAACCCUUAAGCUUAGUUGCCAUCAUUAAGUUGGGCACUCUAAGUUGACUGCCGGUGACAAACCGGAGGAAGGUGGGGAUGACGUCAAAUCAUCAUGCCCCUUAUGAUUUGGGCUACACACGUGCUACAAUGGACAAUACAAAGGGCAGCGAAACCGUGAGGUCAAGCAAAUCCCAUAAAGUUGUUCUCAGUUCGGAUUGUAGUCUGCAACUCGACUACAUGAAGCUGGAAUCGCUAGUAAUCGUAGAUCAGCAUGCUACGGUGAAUACGUUCCCGGGUCU
rnacentral:rRNA from 1 species